GGGGACGUCGUCUAGCAUGGUCUAGGAUCCCAGCCUGGGGCGUUGGAGGUCGCGGGUUCAAAUCCCGCCGUCCCCACCA
rnacentral:tRNA from 1 species